GCUAGGGAGGCCACCCGCGGACCGACUCCGCCGCUAGCUGUUCUACUUUCCGCCUUUUUCCCUUGGACCUCCGAGGAGACCAGCACGUGCGUGGGAUCUCCGAGGAGUAGGGUACUAAAGUAGCAGAAUCUGACUGCAGAGAACAGGACAAUACCCAGUGGCUGGGGACAGAACUUUAUGUUAGCUAAAGUCUCAGGUGCUUCCGUUUUGUUUCAGAGACUUAAAGAGGAGUGGAAGAACCAGGUCAAGCGAAAAGAAGUCAGGACGUGGAGGAAGCCGACCACGGCAAACUUACUGCGGCCACAGAGGAGAUCAGAGGACCGAAGAUGAGCAGCCAGGUCAUCUGCUAGAAACCUGGAUGCCUAAUUCUGCAAGGCGAGACCAGAAAACAGGCAUCCACCCUGAGCAAGCACUGGAUGGAGAAGCUGCUGGGUGCAGACCAGGAGAAAUGCAAGACUGGACCAUUGACAGAAUACUGACUUCUUCCAAAGAGAAGAACUGGAGCCUAAGAUUUAACGUUGAGCACCAGACAGUCCUACACCAGCAUAGACACUGGAGGUAGAAUGCUGCUGGAGAGGAGGAAACUCAAGGCUUGAUCACUGACUGGCCACUGACUCCUUCAAAACAGAGGAGGCCUGAGAAGAACUGGAGCCUAAGAUUUAACGUUGAGCACCAGACAGUCCUACCUACACCAGCAUAGACACUGGAGGUAGAAUGCUGCUGGAGAGGAGGAAACUCAAGGCUUGAUCACUGACUGGCCACUGACUGCUUCAAAACAGAGGAGGCCUGAGAUGAGAAGAUCCUUUGACAAAGUUGCCAACAAUUCAACACAGACUAUGAAAAAUAGUGGUGGACUAGAGUGUGGCCUGUGAAGAUAACCUGACAAAAUGGGCGGGAGAAGAGGAUGCAAGAUGGCGCCACUGAGCUUAUCUAGAGCACUACUGCCCCUAAGAGGCUUCAGUUUUAACAGAUACAGUACAGCCAAUGUUUCUUUCCCAUAAGCCCCAGCCAGGAAGAGGACUGGCUGCCAAGCUGAAGCUCAUUGUGUUCUAGACUGGGAGACAGCAGAAAGCAGGUGUACCCUGGAAACUGGUGCAACUCCUCAUAGAACCUGGAGAUCAAGGGACCUGAACCCAGGGUUGGGAUACUGAAAGUGUUCUAUCAAGUUUGGACUUGAGAAAUGGGAAAAAACUCCAAGACAAAUGCAAACUCUCCAGUCUAGAUGGCUCCUGCUCUAGAGAGUGAGACUUUGUCAAAGAAUUUAAGGCAGGCUGGGAUAGUGUUCUAUCAAGUUUGGACUUGAGAAAUGGGAAAAAACUCCAAGACAAAUGCAAACUCUCCAGUCUAGAUGGCUCCUGCUCUAGAGAGUGAGACUUUGUCAAAGAAUUUAAGGCAGGCUGGGAUAGUGUUCUAUCAAGUUUGGACUUGAGAAAUGGGAAAAAACUCCAAGACAAAUGCAAACUCUCCAGUCUAGAUGGCUCCUGCUCUAGAGAGUGAGACUUUGUCAAAGAAUUUAAGGCAGGCUGGGAUAGUGUUCUAUCAAGUUUGGACUUGAGAAAUGGGAAAAAACUCCAAGACAAAUGCAAACUCUCCAGUCUAGAUGGCUCCUGCUCUAGAGAGUGAGACUUUGUCAAAGAAUUUAAGGCAGGCUGGGAGAGUGUUCUAUCAAGUUUGGACUUGAGAAAUGGGAAAAAACUCCAAGACAAAUGCAAACUCUCCAGUCUAGAUGGCUCCUGCUCUAGAGAGUGAGACUUUGUCAAAGAAUUUAAGGCAGGCUGGGUGGUGGUGGUUUUUUGCCUUUAAUCCCAGCACUCAGGAGGCAGAGGGAAACAGAUCUAUGUGUGUUCAAGGACAGCCUGGUCUAUAAGAACUAGUUUCAGUACAGGCUCCCAAGCUACAAGAGAAACGCUGUCUCAAAAAAACUUAUGGCAAUCUUGUGGGGUAUGGUCAUGGUGGGUGUGGAAGGGUGUGUUUUCGUGUAGGAAGGGAGUGCUUGGAGGGCAUAGGUAGGUGUGUGUGUAGGAAUGGGGUGGGGGUGGGGCCCUAGGGUGUGUGGGAGACAGAGAGUGUAGAUUCACUUUGAGCCUUAAAAUCCCAAAUGAAUUUUUUCUUUUUUACAGAAAUUGAAUAGGUAAUCAAUCCUACAUUUCACUCGGAAUUUGAAGAUGAGCAAUUAAUAUAAUAUUAAUUUUCACAUAUGAAAAUCAAGCAAGCCCCAUAUUUUAUCACUCUUUCAACUAUCUUUUCAACUAAAAUACAGAAAUAUGUUAAUAUAUGUCCACAGUUAAGGAGAUGCCUGAGUUUGGGGAAAGGUAUGCCCUUAUGUUGUCUAUCAGUGUUGAAGAUUGUUUGAAUGUAUUUCUGGGUAACAUGCAUAUCCAUUUUAAGAACUAAACAGAUGUUAAUGAAUAGUGAUUGUAUAAGAAUGGAUUGCAUUGAAAGCUCUCAGGCCACACACAUCUGGGUGACAGAAUUUAGUUGCCACUUUUAACCAUUCGAUCCUUUUUAAAAAUGUUUUUGGAAGAUACAGUGUGCUUUUUCUAUUUUUGAACAGACACUUUGUAGACUUUUGAAUGGACCCUUUGUAGUCCAACUCUCACCAUCUUGAACCUGAGGGUCCACGAAUAAGAAUAUAAAAAUGUAGAUUCCAGAAAUAAGAAUGUAAAAGUAAAGAAAUAUAAAGCUGUAAGCCUAGAAAUGAUAGCGGGCUGUCAGCAGCUUAAGUAAUUAAGUAACAGCAGGUUGCUUUACAACUGCUGCUCUGUUCACAAAAGUGAAGCAUCCCUCUACAAAUUGAUGGUCAGCUUUGACAAACUGAGUGUUGGGGAAUGCAGACCCUCAGACCCUGAACUUUCUAUGACCCCUUGCCUGCCUGAGUAAGCAACUUGUUUUCCUAUGCUACAGCUAUUCUGAGCACAAGACCAUCAUGAGUUCCUGAUGUCAGGGGAGUGGUUUCUGGUGGGCUUGCAGCUGAAAAAUCCAGAGAGCUAGGGCAUGGCUAUUAGUCAAGGAGAGCACUAUAUAAACUGUCCUGGAAUACAAUACAAUGGCAUUCUUGUUUCAAGAGUGACCAAUGUCUCUUUUUUUUUAAAUCCUCAGCCCCUUGCCUGAUCACAGUUUCCAGGUGGCGCAGAUGCCACUUAUGACCAGAAAUUGAUGCGAGCUGAGUUAACUUUUAAAUGAUGUACGUGACUUUUUGACUUUUUGGUUUUAUAUUGUCCCAUACCCUUCCAUGCUAUGUGAAACUGGCCUUGUCAGGGGAGGUGCAGACAGAGCCUUGGUAAACACUAUCAAGGGAUACCAGGGAAGAUAAUAAAUUAAGUACAAACACUAGUUUGCCUGAAAAACUGUUAAUGGAAAUUGCAAAGAAGGGCAAUUUGUAUUUGAGUUUUACCUUGAGAUUGUAAAAAUUCUCUUGUUAUUGCCUAAUGCUUGCUAUAAAAGGAGUUAAAAAUACAGCCCUCUGCUACAGCCUUAAAAUCUCUGGCUGUGGUCUCAGCUAGCUGAUAAGCUUUUGUGCCCUAAGGAGAUUUUUUAUUUUAUUUUAUUUUAUUUUUUCUUCCUGGAAUCUGGUUUCUCGAAUAAAGUUUGCUUCUUGUUUAUUAGA